rnacentral:rRNA from 1 species
AUUGGGCGUAAAGGGUGUGUAGGUGGCAGUGUUAGUCAAACGUUAAAGCCCGGAGCUUAACUCCGGAAGUGCGUUUGAAACGGCACAGCUAGAGGAUGCGAGGGAUGAAUGGAACUCAUGGAGUAGGGGUGAAAUCCGUUGAUAUCAUGGGGAACACCAAAAGCGAAGGCAGUUCAUUGGCGCACUCCUGACACUGAAACACGAAAGCGUGGGUAGCGAAUGGGAUUAGAUACCCCAGUAGUCCACGCCCUAAACGAUGACAACUAGCUUUUCGGAGUAUCGACCCUCUGAGAGGCGAAGCUAACGCGUUAAGUUGUCCGCCUGGGUAGUACGACCGCAAGGUUAAAACUCAAAGGAAUAGACGGGGACUUGCACAAGCAGAGGAUUAUGUGGUUUAAUUCGAUGAUAAACGAAAAACCUUACCAAGGUUUGAAACCUAACUGAAUAGAAGCAGAAACGUUUCUAGUCUCACAAGGACAGUUAGGCAGGUGAUGCAUGGCCGUCGUCAGUUCGUGAUUUGAAUUGUUCCCUUAAGUGGGGUAACGAACGCAACCCUCGUUGUCUGUUAUACGUAUCAGGCGAGACUGCCCAGCUUUUUGCUCGGAAGCAAAAAGCCAGUUAAAAGUUCAUAAAGUUAUAGAGUUCAUAAAGUAAAAUGCAUUUGCAUCUACUUUAAAAACUUUACAAACUUUCAACUUUAAAAACUUACUUUUUGAGCUUGCGCUCAAAAAGCUGGGAGGAAGGCGAGGAUGACGCCAGGUCAGCAUGUCCCUUUGAUACCUUGGGCUACACACAUAAUACAAUGGCGACCACAACGCGUUGCGACGGGGUAACCCUGAGCUAAUCGUAAUAAAAGUCGCCCCAGUUCAGAUUGGGGGCUGAAACUCGACCCCAUGAAGUUGGAUUUGCUAGUAAUCGCGGGUCAGCUAUACCGCGGUGAAUACGUUCUCAAGUCUUGUACUCACCGCCCGUCAACUCAAGGGAACCGGGAAUACCCGAAGUCUAGCGUAUGCUAGCCCACGGUAAAUUCGGUAACAGGGAGUAAGUCGUAACAAGGCACGGCUAGCGGAAGCUGGUCGUGGA